rnacentral:rRNA from 1 species
UGCAAGUCGAGCGGACAGAUGGGAGCUUGCUCCCUGAUGUUAGCGGCGGACGGGUGAGUAACACGUGGGUAACCUGCCUGUAAGACUGGGAUAACUCCGGGAAACCGGGGCUAAUACCGGAUGGUUGUUUGAACCGCAUGGUUCAAACAUAAAAGGUGGCUUCGGCUACCACUUACAGAUGGACCCGCGGCGCAUUAGCUAGUUGGUGAGGUAACGGCUCACCAAGGCAACGAUGCGUAGCCGACCUGAGAGGGUGAUCGGCCACACUGGGACUGAGACACGGCCCAGACUCCUACGGGAGGCAGCAGUAGGGAAUCUUCCGCAAUGGACGAAAGUCUGACGGAGCAACGCCGCGUGAGUGAUGAAGGUUUUCGGAUCGUAAAGCUCUGUUGUUAGGGAAGAACAAGUACCGUUCGAAUAGGGCGGUACCUUGACGGUACCUAACCAGAAAGCCACGGCUAACUACGUGCCAGCAGCCGCGGUAAUACGUAGGUGGCAAGCGUUGUCCGGAAUUAUUGGGCGUAAAGGGCUCGCAGGCGGUUUCUUAAGUCUGAUGUGAAAGCCCCCGGCUCAACCGGGGAGGGUCAUUGGAAACUGGGGAACUUGAGUGCAGAAGAGGAGAGUGGAAUUCCACGUGUAGCGGUGAAAUGCGUAGAGAUGUGGAGGAACACCAGUGGCGAAGGCGACUCUCUGGUCUGUAACUGACGCUGAGGAGCGAAAGCGUGGGGAGCGAACAGGAUUAGAUACCCUGGUAGUCCACGCCGUAAACGAUGAGUGCUAAGUGUUAGGGGGUUUCCGCCCCUUAGUGCUGCAGCUAACGCAUUAAGCACUCCGCCUGGGGAGUACGGUCGC